UAAUUAAAUUACUUCUUUUUACUGUAUUUUUUAUUAAAUAUCACGCAUAUAUGACAUUGUUAGGAAAACAAAAUUCCCCAUUUAUUUCAGAAUUCAGGCCCAAGUUGUUCAACCCCACAGGCUGCAUUACAGUUGCCUCACAGGUCUGAGCUCUCUCUGGACAAAGCUUAGUGUGUGGACACACCAAGUCACUGCAGCCUGAGUUGUACAUGUGGUUCUGGUGGAUCCUCUAAGAUUAAGGCAGCAGCCUGGAUGAACACAAACUGUGGACUAGGUCCAGCAUAGCAGCCUGUUACUAGGCUCCUUCAUGGUACACGUCAGCUGCCAUAGUCACCUGCAGCCAUUUGCAGUUCAGUAUCAUUUGUAUGUUUCAUUGGCACAUUAUUUCUUCUCUGUCUCUAGCUGCUGAAUAGGCUGGAUCAAACACUAAUGCCUUUGGUAACCAAUUCAACAAGUUCCUGGUGCACAAUAGACUAUUGUUUGUAAUAUCAGAGCCUUUGCUCACAAUCUGUCAGCCUAGUUUCAACCCACAUAGCAAUGUCAUUAAACAAGACAGAAGUUUUGGUACAAAGAAGCGUAGAAGUGUAAGAAUAAAACACUUCCUCGCUGUAAGAGCUGCUUUGUAGCAAACUGAUAAUGCCACUGAAAAGCAUUUUUUGGUGUCCAAGAUAAAAUAAUAAACAUCCCAACCUUAAUCUCAUAAGCAAAGCUAACAAUUUUACAUACUGCCUUCAAACUGCUGUAAUCAUGGGAAAUAGCUUUAUUCUAAUUGUGAGAAUUAUAUUCCAAUAUGACAAGUUACACAGUGAAGUGCAUUAGAAACUACAAAACCGGAGUUAAACCAUUGUUUAUGCUAUAGCCGUUACACCAUUUUAACAUUUUAACACUGAAAAUAAACAUUUUAUUUUCUAAAUGGCUUUUAUUUUUAAUAGCUCUAUAAGAUUCCUUCUGAUUUCUCUUUUCUUUUUGUUAAAUGUAUGGCAAGAGAGAAGACUGUAAUGAAUGGUUAGACAGUAAGUUUCUCCUGUGUUACAGGAAUCUCUAUAAUUACACAAUACAAACCCUCUGCUCUGCAGUACUUGAGGUGGACAGUUCCUGUGCUGAAAUGAUAUUAAAUUUAAGAGAAAGCCAGAUAGCACCAGAUGAAAGUAAAAAGGCAUUUUGAAAGAUGUAAUAAAAUCCUCAGCCUUGGACAGUUAUGGAAAGAGAGACAGCACAUCACUCUCUAUUCAGGGAUCAUCUGACUACCAACAGGAAUCCAAGCCAUCAACAUAUUAUUUUACUCCUCAUGUUAACAGAGAGUGAGGAUUUCAUCUAUAAAAGAUGCCUAAAACAUGAGGAGAGUGAAGGGCAAGGAGAGAGCAAGCAGUCACUCUUACUGACCUCUGGCUCACUGAAAACCAGAACAUUUUCCCAAAUGCCACAUAAUUAUUAAUUCAUAGGAAGUUUCACAAGCAUAUGAUCUGACCCACAGACAACAGAAAUUGUUGUUUUGCAAAGAUUUUUCCAUUGAUUUUGGCCCUGGACCAUGCAUUGAAGAUUUGGCAUCUGGAACAGAUCCCCUUGCUUGAGAAAAGAUUUAAAAUGCACAGCUGAAGUUUCUGAUGUGAAGCAAGGAAAAGAAAUAUUGUUCUCCCAGUUACUACUGCCUAAGCUAUGUCCUGAGAAAAUGAGCAGCACCACAUGUUGCAAGUCACACAGUAACAGAGAAAGCAGCAGCGCACUUCUGUGCACGCAGCCAACAUCCCUCUGAGUGCAGGACAUGGUACAAAUGUCUCAAAUAUAUUUUCUCUGCUUCAUCCCCUUUCCUUCUGUUCCCUC